UUUCUUCUAUCAAACUAUAAUUGAGUCCUUCUCUUGCUUACAAUUGUUUCAUGCUAGAGAAGCCAGAGAAGCCAAAUAAUUCAAUAUAAAUAAUUUACUAGGCAAAGCUUGGCUAGCUUUCUUUAACCUCUACAUUAAAAGCUCUUAAAUUGUUUAUAGUUCUUCAACGGAAAAUUCUGCGAGUCAGACUGAGCCAGUGGGCAACUCACAAACGCAGCGUAUUUAUUAUGAGUGGCCUCAUUUUCCAGCUGUUGUAGUGGGUCACCCAAGUCACACCGCGUCAGCUUUAUUGUUUCAGUUCCACGGUUGUUCGCUAUAAGAUGUAUACCUUGCUCUUCCAACAAUGAGUUUUGUUUGGAAACUAGUUCUGUUAUCCAUACUCUGUAAAAACAGCCACUUCCACCUGCACUCAUGGGGGCUGUACUUGUGCUGAGGAGUCCAUCAGAGAGUCAAAACUUACUAACUCAGGCAGAGAAACACACUAAUACCUCAUCUGCUUUGAGCCUAGAUCUGGUUCUUUUGCUUCAGCUAAAGCACCAUGGAGAGAUGCCCAGCGAGGAGUGAUCUGAGAGCAAUCAAUCAAUCAGAUCCGGACCACCAAAUCUCUCCACAGUAAACUACUGCAUGGGGCGCCAGCACCCAUCUCUUGGCUCCCAUGUCCUGGCCGGCAGAAAUGGCAGCGCACAGCAGCACUGCUACAGUGAGAACCAGACUGCCCCCCCAAAUCAAUGGGAUUUACACUCAUUUUCAAGAUGAAAAGAGUUAGACUGCUUUUCACACGGUCAUGGGUGUUGUUCGAAUUGGGCUGUUACAAGUAUUUCCCUGUAAAAUGAAAAUGAUGUGUUGCAUUUGUUUUCUCUUUUGUCCCAGAUUUGAUCAGGCGUGCUGGUGUUCUUUGCAAAUGUGUCGUGAGUCACAAGGAACCCUGGGCUGACAGAGCACGGAAAAGAGUUCUUUAGAAAUUACCGAAUCUGUUUUGGAAAAGGAAGUGUCUCUGAAUCUUUGCCCCAGAAAGAAAAAACACUUCUGCAAAGCUGCAUCACUGCAGAACGUAACAUGGAACAGAUCAGCGUACAGAUGGAUACAGCUGUUAUCCUAUCUUGGCAACCAUGCUGUCCUCAGCUUCUGAAGAUAUGAGUCCAUGUGAAAUGCUCUGAAUACCGUUAAUUCUUAAGAGAUGAAGUUAAG